GGAAUAUUGCGCAAUGGACGAAAGUCUGACGCAGCGACGCCGCGUGUGGGAUGAAGCCUUUCGGGGUGUAAACCACUGUUGCCCGGGACGAACCUCCUUUUUCGAAAGGACUGACGGUACCGGGUGCGGAAGCACCGGCUAACCCUGUGCCAGCCGCCGCGGUAAUACAGAGGGUGCGAGCGUUGUCCGGAAUCACUGGGCGUAAAGGGCGCGUAGGUGGCUUGGUAAGCGUGUGGUGAAAGUCCGGGGCUCAACCCCGGAUCUGCCGUGCGAACUGCUAGGCUUGAGCAUUGUAGAGGCAGGUGGAAUUCCGGGUGUAGCGGUGGAAUGCGUAGAGAUCCGGAAGAACACCAGUGGCGAAGGCGGCCUGCUGGGCAAUUGCUGACACUGAGGCGCGACAGCGUGGGGAGCAAACAGG
rnacentral:rRNA from 1 species